rnacentral:rRNA from 1 species
UACGAAGGGAGCUAGCGUUGUUCGGAAUCACUGGGCGUAAAGCGCACGUAGGCGGAUCUUUAAGUCAGGGGUGAAAUCCUGGAGCUCAACUCCAGAACUGCCUUUGAUACUGGGGAUCUCGAGUCCGGGAGAGGUGAGUGGAACUCCGAGUGUAGAGGUGAAAUUCGUAGAUAUUCGGAAGAACACCAGUGGCGAAGGCGGCUCACUGGCCCGGUACUGACGCUGAGGUGCGAAAGCGUGGGGAGCAAACAGG